rnacentral:rRNA from 1 species
UACGUAGGGUGCAAGCGUUAAUCGGAAUUACUGGGCGUAAAGCGUGCGCAGGCGGUUCGGAAAGAGAGGUGUGAAAUCCCAGGGCUUAACCUUGGAACUGCACUUUUAACUACCGGGCUAGAGUACGUCAGAGGGGGGUAGAAUUCCACGUGUAGCAGUGAAAUGCGUAGAGAUGUGGAGGAAUACCGAUGGCGAAGGCAGCCCCCUGGGCCAAUACUGACGCUCAUGCACGAAAGCGUGGGGAGCAAACAGG